ensembl:rRNA 5S_rRNA 5S ribosomal RNA
GUCUAUGGUCAUACCACCCUGAACACGCCCGAUCUCAUCAGAUCUCGGAAGCAAAGCAGGGUCGGGCCUGGUUAGUACUUGGAUGGGAGACCACCUGGGAAUACUGGGUGCUGUAGGCU